UAGGGAAUCUUCCACAAUGGACGCAAGUCUGAUGGAGCAACGCCGCGUGAGUGAAGAAGGUUUUCGGAUCGUAAAGCUCUGUUGUUGGUGAAGAAGGAUAGAGGCAGUAACUGGUCUUUAUUUGACGGUAAUCAACCAGAAAGUCACGGCUAACUACGUGCCAGCAGCCGCGGUAAUACGUAGGUGGCAAGCGUUGUCCGGAUUUAUUGGGCGUAAAGCGAGCGCAGGCGGAAUGAUAAGUCUGAUGUGAAAGCCCACGGCUCAACCGUGGAACUGCAUCGGAAACUGUCAUUCUUGAGUGCAGAAGAGGUGAGUGGAAUUCCAUGUGUAGCGGUGGAAUGCGUAGAUAUAUGGAAGAACACCAGUGGCGAAGGCGGCUCUCUGGUCUGCAACUGACGCUGAGGCUCGAAAGCAUGGGUAGCGAACAGG
rnacentral:rRNA from 1 species